UUCUCACAAAAAACAGCCAUACAAAAUUAUCUCUCUUUUCUUCCUUUAUCUCUCUACGUGAAACCAAUGACAACAUCAAUCAGCCGCCCCCACCGGCGAUCUCCUCACCAGCCACCAGUCAAUCCAGCCGUCGCUAGCUGGCCCCCUCUCCCUCUUCCCCUUUCCAGCAAAACAAUCCAUCAACGUGCCUCUAUUUUCUCUCUAUCGCAGCCCUCACGCCACCAGAUGGUAGAGCCCAUCACUUUCGCAAACCAGAAACUCCAGCUGGUGAAGCAGCCAGCGACCGCUCAGUAUCUUUCCGAGCCGUCGUGCCUCUAUGCCAUCGCCAUCGCUCCAUCAUCUUGGCCCAUGAAAAGUAAAUAAAACCAGAUCUAAACGCCACCAACAACAGCAGCCGAUGGAGCCGCCAUAACAACCAUCACUGUUUUACUCUUCUCUCCCGAUCGACGAAUAACCCUUCUCCAUUUCCUACUGUCUAUUUAUCAUCAAUCUCUCACUGAAGUUAAUGACCGGCGAAUUUUUUGACAAACACCACUGCGAUUAUUGUCCGGUUUGAGGGAAUUGAAGAGUUGCUCGAAAAUUUGAGAGGAAUUAUGUUUUUCCCUUUUAGUUUAGUCGAUUCUUCUUUUUAUUGGUAUCUAAUAUUGUAUAAACACAAACGAUGUUGUAAUAAUAUUUAUGAGAAUGCAUGGGGGUUGGGAUG